UGUUGCCGGGUCUAAGUCAUUUCCAG
rnacentral:misc_RNA from 1 species